AUCUCUUCCUUUCUCCUCAGCAUGGCUGGCUCAGGAAUUCUGGGAGUUGAAGUCCACGACUCAUAAAAGAGCCAAGGUUGCCUACCCCUGGUAUAGUGGUUAAAGUACUGGAUUAAGAGAAAGGAAACCCAUGUUUUAGUUCUCCUUUAGAUAAGGAAGGCAGCCAGACUAGGAUCAGUCACUCCUUCUCAGCCCAAACCAGUGUCUGGCUUUGAGAACUCUGAAAAAUGGAACCUCUUGAUGCAACAAUGCAUUCACAGUGUUGCCAUACAAUCUGAAGUGGCUGCAGUACACAGUAAGCCCACAUCUAUGGGACAAACACUACAACAACACUGGUGCAGAGAAGGGGCAGCAAAGUUGGUGAGGUGCUUGGAAGCUGAAUCUUAAGAAAGCCUACAAGAAUGUAGCUGUUGUUAGUUUAAAGAAGGCUAAGCAAUCUUCCAAUACUUGAGGGCUGUCACAGGGAACAGGGUGUGGAUUUAGUCUCCAAAGAAUCCAAGGAAUCUGGGAUGUGUCUGCUUGAGGAGAUGGAAGACAUAGCCCUGGACCAUUUUCCCAACUUGUACGCAAGACAGCUGCAGAAGGCAGCCAUGUGAUCCUAGAAAAAGACACGCCACUUUGAGCAGCUGUGGACAUCUGCUACAUUCAUGCCUCCAUGCCGCACCUUUUCUGUCUUCAAAUCUGAGGGGCAGCACAAACCUAAUUUCUGGUGAAAGACACAUGCUUCUCAUCUGCACUGACGAUAUUUCUAAGAUUUGUUUAAGAAAGCAGACUGAUCCCCACAUUUUGCUAGCUUUAACAGAAAGCGGUACAAAGAAUUUAACAGGAUUUCAAAUUCCGUGAUGAAAGUGACGGCUAUCACAUUAAACUAGAGAGAAGCUGACAAUUAUGAUUUAGGAGCCAUUUUGGUCAAGGUUAAAAUAGUGGUAAAGCUGUUUACAUUAACCAAAGCAAUUUAACAUGCUCACAAACAUGCCUACUUCUUUCUGAAGAAACCCUUUUGUAUUUUUUUUUUUUAAAAACGGAUUAUUGUAAUUAUUUUUAAAAUGGAGUUGUUCAAAGCUAAUAACAUUGGUCAGUUUUUAUAUAGCAUGAACAUUCUCUAAUUUACAGAGUUUUUUUUCCUUUUUAAAAAUGAAUUUAAAAUGUAAUUCAGAAACUACUGUACCUCUUUACAUCAAUAGCACAUCAUUCUAUUAACACAUAUAAACAAUAAGGUAGUAUAAUAGAGGUAAUUGUCUAUUUCCAUAAACAAAACAGCAAUUAUUUAAAUUUACCAGUUAGGCAAGUUAGGCCCACACCCUUCCAUUUAAAUAAGGUUUGGCUACAUAAAACACUACAUCCCAAAGACCCGCCCCAU